rnacentral:rRNA from 1 species
AUGCAUCAGAUGUGCCAGAUGGGAUUAGCUAGUAGGUGGGGUAACGGCUCACCUAGGCGACGAUCCCUAGCUGGUCUGAGAGGAUGACCAGCCACACUGGAACUGAGACACGGUCCAGACUCCUACGGGAGGCAGCAGUGGGGAAUAUUGCACAAUGGGCGCAAGCCUGAUGCAGCCAUGCCGCGUGUGUGAAGAAGGCCUUCGGGUUGUAAAGCACUUUCAGCGGGGAGGAAGGCGUUAAGGUUAAUAACCUCAUCGAUUGACGUUACCCGCAGAAGAAGCACCGGCUAACUCCGUGCCAGCAGCCGCGGUAAUACGGAGGGUGCAAGCGUUAAUCGGAAUUACUGGGCGUAAAGCGCACGCAGGCGGUCUGUCAAGUCGGAUGUGAAAUCCCCGGGCUCAACCUGGGAACUGCAUUCGAAACUGGCAGGCUAGAGUCUUGUAGAGGGGGGUAGAAUUCCAGGUGUAGCGGUGAAAUGCGUAGAGAUCUGGAG